AGAGGCCGCCCAGUGGAAACCCAGCGCAGUGCGCAGCUGACCAAUGGGAGGCGCGCUGCCGACUGCGGGUGAGGGUAGUGCGGCCGCGUGGGUCCCUGGCGCACAGAGGAGGAUGUUACCUAGCAACGGGAGUGAGGCUCAGGCAGCCCAGGCAGAGCCUCGCCUUACCCUAGGGGAGAGGCGCGCUCAUGGGGGGUUGCGCAGCUACGGGGGUUGUCCUGGGGGACCAGAGCAGGACGCUGGGGGGAGAGACGCUGCUAUGGGGGAAUGCGGCUGUCAUAAGGUGGCGGGGCAGAGGGGCUGGAGGCCGCCAUGGAGAUGAGAUGCAGGCUUCCUUAGUGAAAGGUGCAAAACAGCAGGGGGCAGGGGAGGCGGCAGGAGCCUCCCUCCCUCCCCACCUUUGAAUCAGUGAUAGCAUCCAUGCAAGUUCCAGGUGCCAUCAGACUCCUUCUUGUUUUAGCUGAAACAGACUAACAUGGCUACCUCUGAAAUGUGGAGGAGGAAGGAACAGCAUGGUAUCUACAGCCAACAGGAGACAGAAAGAAUCCCUAGAUCACACUGGUGUCAAAGAAGCCUGAGGAGGAAUGCUGAUGGAUUCUUCUAGAUGUGGUGGAGAGGAGCAUAGUGGUGCAGAAGCAAUACUUCUACCCCCACUUGAAAGGAUGCAACGUACACUCCCUUCCCAUCUGUGCUGGGCUGCGAGGGUAAGGAGUAAGGCCAAGGCCGGGGCUGGUGCCAGUGGCUAACCUAAGACACUUGUGCCCCCUUUCCCUUUAUGCACUCAUGCAGGACCUGCCAGACUUAUCCUUAAGUGUGAUUUUAGGCUGUCUAGAGCAGAGGUGACAGGAAAGGUCACACACAUACCCCAACACUGUGAGGAGAAGGGACAAGAGGCCAGCAGCCACAGGUCCAGAACCUCUCCUCUUCUGGCCACGCUGCUGCACCUUCCCAGGCAGCCUCCAGCCACACAGCCGUUUUUCCGACAAAACCUGAGUUACGUCCACACUGAAAGCGUAUUCUUUUGCAAG